rnacentral:rRNA from 1 species
CAUGCAAGUCGAACGGCCAUCUUUCGGGGUGGUAGUGGCGAACGGCUGAGUAACACGUGGGUGACCUGCCCUGGAGCGGGGGAUAACUGCCCGAAAGGGUGGCUAAUACCGCAGACAUCAUGGAUUCGGUUUCAUGAUUGAACCCGAGGGGUUCUAGGAGGGGCCUGCGUCCGAUUAGCUAGUUGGUGGGGUAGAGGCUUACCAAGGCGACGAUCGGUAGCUGGUCUGAGAGGAUGAUCAGCCAGACUGGGACUGCGAGACGGCCCAGACUCCUACGGGAGGCAGCAGUUAGGAAUUUUGGGCAAUGGGCGGAAGCCUGACCCAGCAACGCCGCGUGGGUGACGAAGGCCUUCGGGUCGUAAAGCCCUUUUCCCAGGGAAGAUAGUGACGGUACCUGGGGAAUCAGCCCCGGCUAACUACGUGCCAGCAGCCGCGGUAAUACGUAGGGGGCAAGCGUUGUCCGGAUUUAUUGGGCGUAAAGCGCUCGCAGGUGGUUCAUCGCGUCGUGCGUGAAAGACCUUGGCUCAACUGGGGGGUGUCGUGCGAAACGGGUGGACUGGAGGCCAGUAGGGGGAUGCGGAAUUCCGGGUGUAGUGGUGGAAUGCGUAGAGAUCCGGAGGAACAUCAGCGGCGAAGGCGGCAUCCUGGACUGGACCUGACACUCAGGAGCGAAAGCGUGGGGAGCGAUCCGGAUUAGAUACCCGGGUAGUCCACGCUGUAAACGAUGAGUACUAGGUGUCGGGGGUAUCGACC